CACCUUUAGAAUUAACAGAGCAGGAAAGCGAGCGUACAGUAAGAGCGCUGAAAGUGAACGGAGACGGUCAUUCGCGACAGCCAAUCAGAUCUCGAGACUGCGACACGGAGGCCCCGCUACGAGGUCACACGCUGAACGUGGCACGUACGCGUCCUGUGAUUGGAUAAGCACCGAAAGGCGGCUCUUUGCAAAGUGUAGCAUCCGUUACCUGGACAUCCGUUAGCUACUAUCAGUUACCGUAGUAUUUUUAGCCCAAGUUGGCUGAAAGAGGAGACGGGAAAUUGUUGCAGACAAACGUUACACGCCAUUUUCAACACGGACCUUUCCCAAAAAGCUGGACCCUGUGAGGAGUGGCCGACCAACCGCUACGCUGGGUAACCUGUCCCAGCAGGGAGAAGGGUUGUCCGCCAUUUUCAGACCAGCAGCUAUGUACAGAAUCAGUGGCUCAUACCUUCUGAGAACCGUUGGUGAUUUGGUGGUUGGAGCUACACUAGGUUUACCAACGUAGGUUGUUUCACCGUGGCAGCAACGACACACCAAAGCACGGCCGGGUUCCGACGAGCCACGGUGCGUUUAAAGACUACCGGACAGACGGCAUUAGCAUCCUUAUUGCUGGAUCCGAAAGCACAAUAAGCCUUCUACAGAAAAGGAGAAGCUCUGUGUUGAUUCGGGAGGCGGUCGCCCGAAGGGGCGUCGUCCCCGCGCCGUCUCCGGCCGCGGCCGGCUCGCGAACCCGCGCAGGGGAGAACUUGGAUCGGUCGACGGGCAGAACGAGGCACGCGGGGACGGAAAGGGAGGGAGAGCGAGCGAGGAAGUGGGCGAACGAGAGAUACCAUCGACUGUUGCUUCCAACCAGCAGAUAAGUGUGGCCUAACAUUCAUUAGGUCUUCAACUCAAUUAAACCAAAAUAAUUUCUUAUCUUUCUUCCCUCGGUAAACUGUCAGCAUAUCAAAAGGCCGGACCCCCGUAGCUGCGGGCGCGAUGGAGGAAAAACAACACAAAAGCACAAGAUAUGCAAGAGCGCCCAGUAAACAAGCCGCUCGGCUCCAUACGUAUCGCAUAGGCCGCAGUCGCCUUAAAGAAGCAGCCCCACGCUGAUUACAAAGCAAGAGUGAAAUUUCAAUAGAUGAGAAUAAAUGUAGUGGCACUAAAUCA
rnacentral:lncRNA from 1 species